rnacentral:rRNA from 1 species
AGUGAACGCUGGCGGCGUGCUUAACACAUGCAAGUCGAACGAGAACGGAAUAUAGCUUGCUAUAUUUGUCAGCUAAGUGGCGCACGGGUGAGUAAUGUAUAGCUAACCUGCCCUUAAGAAAGGAAUAACAGUUGGAAACGACUGCUAAUGCCCUAUAUGCCUUGAAUACAUAAGUAUGCAAGGGAAACGCUUUAGUGCUUAAGGAUGGGUCUGUAUGGUAUCAGCUUGUUGGUGAGGUAAUGGCUCACCAAGGCUAUGACGCCUAACUGGUUUGAGAGGAUGAUCAGGCACACUGGAACUGAGACACGGUCCAGACUCCUACGGGAGGCAGCAGUGGGGAAUAUUGCACAAUGGACGAAAGUCUGAUGCAGCAACGCCGCGUGGAGGAUGACACAUUUCGGUGCGUAAACUCCUUUUAUAUAGGAAGAUAAUGACGGUACUAUAUGAAUAAGCACCGGCUAACUCCGUGCCAGCAGCCGCCGUAA